rnacentral:rRNA from 1 species
CCAAAUGACUCUCGGCAACGGAUAUCUCGGCUCUUGCAUCGAUGAAGAACGUAGCGAAAUGCGAUACUUGGUGUGAAUUGCAGAAUCCCGUGAACCAUCGAGUCUUUGAACGCAAGUUGCGCCUGAAGCCAUCAGGUUGAAGGCACGUCUGCCUGGGCGUCACACAU